UACGGAGGGUGCAAGCGUUAUUCGGAAUUACUGGGCGUAAAGUGCACGCAGGUGGCUGAGUCAGUCGAUUGUGAAAGCCCUGGGCUUAACCUGGGAAUUGCAGUCGAUACUACUCAGCUAGAGUAUGGGAGAGGGUAGUGGAAUUCCCGGUGUAGCGGUGAAAUGCGUAGAUAUCGGGAGGAACAUCAGUGGCGAAGGCGGCUACCUGGCCCAAUACUGACACUCAGGUGCGACAGCGUGGGGAGCAAACAGG
rnacentral:rRNA from 1 species